rnacentral:rRNA from 1 species
GUGGGGAAUCUUCCGCAAUGGACGAAAGUCUGACGGAGCAACGCCGCGUGAACGAUGACGGCCUUCGGGUUGUAAAGUUCUGUUAUACGGGACGAAUGGUACGACGGCCAAUACCCGUCGUAAGUGACGGUACCGUAAGAGAAAGCCACGGCUAACUACGUGCCAGCAGCCGCGGUAAUACGUAGGUGGCAAGCGUUGUCCGGAAUUAUUGGGCGUAAAGGGCGCGCAGGCGGCGUCGUAAGUCGGUCUUAAAAGUGCGGGGCUUAACCCCGUGAGGGUACCGAAACUGCGAUGCUAGAGUAUCGGAGAGGAAAGCGGAAUUCCUAGUGUAGCGGUGAAAUGCGUAGAUAUUAGGAGGAACACCAGUGGCGAAAGCGGCUUUCUGGACGACAACUGACGCUGAGGUGCGAAAGCGUGGGGAGCAAACAGGAUUAGAAACCCCAGUAGUCC